CGUGCACAUGUGCGCGUGUUCUGCCUCCCGCGAUCUCGCUCGUGAUAUUCCAGCCCCGCCGCCGCCGUCCCCGCCCCCAUCCGUGACACCCCACCAUCACCGCCGCGCCACGCGCGACAACUCCAUCCCCCGUCCGCACCCCUACCCCGAGCAUCGCAGCGCCUCCCGCACGAGGUCGUUGCGCUUGUCGAUCUGAUGGCGGCCCAUGGCAAAGGAGCAGGCGGUGAUGGCAGCCACAGCAGAAAGCCGACGCUCGGCGUGAUUCCCACCCGUCGCGAGCCAAGAGGUUCGAGGUCAUUUUUGAGCCAAGAGGUUCGCGGCCACGGGAGCAACCCUACAGAACCAUCACCACCACCGCUCUCUCUUCCUCUGCUCUUCUCUGCCUGCCUGAGCUCACCGCACCUCGCCUCCUCACCGCGGAUCCUCCGUUAAUCCGGUAGAAAAUGGCCGAUGCCGAGGAUAUCCAGCCCCUCGUCUGCGACAACGGAACUGGCAUGGUCAAGGCUGGGUUCGCUGGCGACGACGCCCCGAGGGCCGUCUUCCCCAGCAUCGUGGGGCGCCCGCGCCACAUUGGUGUCAUGGUCGGGAUGGGGCAGAAGGACGCCUACGUCGGUGACGAGGUGCAGUCCAAGAGGGGUAUCCUGACCCUCAAGUACCUCAGCUUACACAUCACAUUAUUCCCCACAUUACAGCAAUCAGUGCAACAAUCAGAGCAUUUAUUUAGGUUCUGCAAACCGAUCAUGACAAAACCAAAGGUAGCUUUGAAGCCGCAGACUCUGUCUCCACAACCUGAAGCCCAAGCACCUCAUGAUCCUCAAACACCAGAGCAACAACAAAGCGGGACUGGUGUAGGCGUGUAGCUGGUGAGCCGGGUAGUGAAGGAGGUGUGUACCAGGCCUCCAGUGAGCAAAUGGGCAUGGUGCCGGAUGCAUCUGCGGCCGGUGGCAGGAAGGUCGAGCUGGAUGGGGACAUGCGAUGGACAUCACAGGUUGGCCCCUCCAGUGAUCCAUCUCAAACACUAGCCAGGUUUCCUCCUUUGCCACCCUCCUUUGGCAGUUCUCUUCCUAACGUCGCCGUAGGUUCCCUUCCCUGCUGUUUUUGUCUCCCAUAGCUCUUAAAAUUUUAAGUUCCCUGUUUGCAUAAAGGCCAUAGGAAAAACGUUGAAUCAAAGCAAACUUGAUGCUUACCGAAAGCAUGUUCGAUGAGUUACUCAGAUUCAUGGCCCAGGAAUUGAAUCUACACGGUUUAAUAACUAUUUGCAUGGCUCUAAAUGCUUAAUUAGGUUUGCUCAUCGUUCCUCAGUGCUACUUCAUCUUGAUUUUCUGCUGAGUAUACAAGGGAUGAAUGAGGCUGCUCAUGGUGGACAGAACAGAAGACGAAAUGAAUCGCAAGGGGAAACUAACAUGCGAGAGAGGAGGAGCUAGCCACAACCAAAGAGCUUGGUUCAAUACUUCAAUGGCUAGAAUAAUGAACGAUAUGAAGAUCAGGUAGCAUUAUAUAUGUCAAUAAGAAGCAGAGGAGAGAAGCAGCCCACAUCGCAGGAGACAAGGACUUCACUUGUUUGGCCAGUUCAGGACUUCAGGAUGUUGUCGAUGAUGUCCAUGCUAUAUUCCCUCGCUUCAUGCUUAACAAUGAGGGAGAGACUAAGUGAGGGGCUGAAGGCCGUUGGUGCUGUCAGAAUGUUUUUUUGGAGUUUUGGUGGAUGAUGCUCAGUGACUGCAAUGCAAAGGAUCCUUCUGUUUUGUAUAUUGAAUGAGAUUACAUCACUGUUUUUUUCUUAGCGAUAUGUUGAGCUCAUGUGCUCGUUUAUGUUAGUCGAUCUCUGGCUCUUGUAGUAACUUGGAAAGCUUGCUGCUUUUUUUAAGGGCAUACAUGCCUGUGAUGUGUGGUCAUGAUCAUUUUUUUCUCCUGUUAUUUUAGUUGUCGUAUCAUAAAUGCCAUGUUUGCAUUGGUGUUCCAACAUGUCAAUAUUAUUGAAUAAAUGUUUGCAUUGGCGGCAGCGGGGACGACGCUAAGUCGAGCAAUGGCGAAGCGGCCCGUGGUGGCAGUAACGGUGGAGAGAAGCAGGGGGAUGAAUCCAACGGUGGCGGGAUACUUAGCGCUGUGGCUUCCAGGAUUGGCGUGGUCGUGUCCAGCGCCAACGGGGACCGCAGCGGCAGCGCUGAGGAUGGUGCCAAGACGAGCGCUGGCGACGCUGGUCACGGUAGCAAGGGCGAGGAGAAGGGGCGUGGUGUGAACGGUGGUAGAAUAGUCGAGCAGAUCAUUUCCAAUCUGCCCUCAGAUGAUCAGGCGCCUGAUGCCGAUGAAGCUUCCUUGCUCAUCGCCAUUAUCGAAGAUUAGCUCCAUGUUCCGAAGGCUCUCUAGGUCGUCCUCAACGCCAGGAUCAAAUCAUCAGCUGAGCCGGAGACUGAAAACAAUAAAGAAAAGCAAGCAGCUGGUCAUAGUAAACAUCAUGUAGCGAGGCUUAGCAGAUUGCUUUUUUUUCCCGUUAGAAUCAGUCCACAUGUCCUCGACACGGGCUAGAUUUGUUCUAGGAUUAUUUUUCCAGUAGUAAGCCAUGUAUCCAUGGACAGUCCACAGCGCGACGUCUAAUGUAACAUCAUCAAGGUUCUUUUGACUAUCCCAUAAGAAACCAUUCCUUAAGACAACCGAUAUUGUGAGUUGAUAACCAACAACUAAUGUUACCAUGCGAUUGUUCCGCAAAACAACUAUGCCCUCUUUCUGUAUCA